rnacentral:rRNA from 1 species
GAAACGGUAGCUAAUACCGCAUAACGUCGCAAGACCAAAGAGGGGGACCUUCGGGCCUCUUGCCAUCGGAUGUGCCCAGAUGGGAUUAGCUAGUAGGUGGGGUAACGGCUCACCUAGGCGACGAUCCCUAGCUGGUCUGAGAGGAUGACCAGCCACACUGGAACUGAGACACGGUCCAGACUCCUACGGGAGGCAGCAUG